AUUUCCGUCUCAAACUGGUGGACAUUACUUCUCCAUGAUGUACAAUAUUCCAGUACAUUGUCUUCAUCUUUAGCUCAUAUUUGUAAGGGCUCUGCUGACGACCCAGCUCACCUCCCACCCGGGAACUGGCGGGAAGUUGAAAAUGGUGGUACCCUUUCUGGGACUCGAACACCGGUUCUCCUGGACAUCCCUAACACAAUUAUACCACCAGAGGUGCCUGAAAUUGGCAGUAGUCCAUAGGAGCGCAGCAUCGGAUCACAUCAGGGAUAUAAGACGGGCCCAGCAGCUCUGUAGCCUCAGCUGCAUGAGGCGCCAGCUGAGGUCAUCCAGCGCCAUCCAACCGCAUCAGCAACAGAGUAGGGAGAAGCCAUAGAAGAUAUGUGACGUCCUCCAGCCUGCUUGGGUCUGCAACAGCGACGUGUCCCAACCCGUCAGGACCUGCAGCAUAGCAGCACCCUGGGAUCGUGUCAGCUUGAUGGAGCACGACAGUCAGCUGUUGUUGUCCGCUGAAGACACCCAGCCAGCCUCUGUCUCGUAAGGUGCACUGUCGGUCCUAAUCAGCAUGACGAAGCUCGGUACUGGACCCGAUCAUACGCGCCAUCGCAGAAUAUUCCAGUGAAACUACAUGGACAAAGUGAGGAUGUAGUGGAUAAGGAGAUACCAGUUAGGUCCUGUGCACCACUACUCUUCACUUCAGUAUAUAAUUUAACCACUAGUGGUUCGAAGUGUUUACGUAAUGGUAUAGAGGCAACUCCAGGCAGAGACUAACGUGUUCUGACAGAGAUCGAGAAUGCAGCUAAAAGUAUUAAAGUGCGGUUUACCAAGUUGGAAUGGGGUGAAUGGUGUCGUGCAAAAGCCUCCAUCAAGCAGCAGUUGACCGCCGAGUAUCAUCUGAGCUGUCCACCUCCAGACGUUUACUGCGCUGCUCUGACUCCAUCCUCUACAAUAGUGUACAAUGUGAAAUUGGGUAACACAUCCAUUUAUCUAUAGCAGGGGUUCCCAACAAAAUUUUCUCGAUGACCCCCUCAUCUGUGAAAGCACUGUCAAUAAAUUAACAAUAGCCGAUUGUCGUCUGAAA